GAUAAGUCAAUCUAAUGUCCUUGUCCCUGAUUAUUAAUUUUUGCAGGCUUUAAACAGCUGUACAAGAGCAAAACUGAUAGCUUUAUUUGUGUAUCUUAUAUGUAUGUCAAACAGGAAGAUAAACUAUUAAUACUGGUAUAUAAACUGGGAGAUAUUGACAGCAGGCAGAAAGAUCACAGGAUACUAUGGCAUGACAACAGGUAUUCUAAGAGGCGCUGAAAAUGAGUAAAAGCUUGAUAACAGAGAAUGACUUCUUCAAAGCCUUUUAUCACCAAGGACAGUACUUCUAUAAAGACAUACACUGGCCUACCUCGACGAUUCUAUUGUACAGAAUUCGUAUUAAAAAUCCUAUCACAGAAGCAGACGAAUUCCUUCAUCAAACUGGACUAUGUUCCUUACAGUAUGAACGCUGGAUGAAAAUCGUUAAUGAAGAUGGUCACCAUGCAGAGAUAUUGUUCGUUAAAAAACUAGAGCAUUUACUGAAUUAUAAACUAUUUCCGGCUACAGCCACGCAAAUCAGCAUCGAUUUGGUGCUCAGUUACUCGCUUGCUCAGACUGUGCUGCAUGUCUGAUUGCACUAAAGCAAGGUAUUGAAACAUACCGAAACAGAGAUGGUAUAGCUAUGUUUUGUGAUAUAACUAUAAAGUUUUCAAAUUUUUACAAAAUUUAUGAUCCCAAUAAACACGGAAAACUUGAUUGAAAUGGUGAGAAAUCAAAUUCAGCUCGUGGUAUUUAAUGGUCUUUGUGACUGGAAAGGACUUUCUUGACAACACAGUGAAAUUGCCCAUUGACGUCCAAUCGGAGGGUUUCUUUAAUGCAUUCAAAGUACGACAAGACAGAGAACUUGUGGAUGCAAUGUUGCUUGACUGCAUAAAAAAGGCCUGCGAUCACAUGGGUUAUUCUGCAAAGAGCGGGACUUUGAGGAGGAACGAGUUUCAAGUAUACAAUUCACUUUGGAAAAACUUAGCCUCUGAAGAAACUACGGCGACAAAGUCCAGCAAGGAUCAGCUUAAAGUUAGUCGACAAAUGAAAACCAGAUAAUUAUAUAUUUCCUGUUUAAAAAAAAAUGAUACAAAAGUAAGACCUGUGUUAGAUGUUUGAAAUUCAAUAUACGAACGUAAGAUAUCGGAGAAGCCCAUAAAACAUUUAGACAGGAAAUAAAUCGUAGUAUACUGACAGGUAUACUACAUACAUGUACAUAUUUUCAAAGUCACAUUCAAUAUUUCAUCGCAUUGUUAAAAAAGGAAGCAAAAUGUAAAUACAUUAGGUGCGUUUUAAACAUAUAAGUCGAAUAUUGAAACGAAUUCAUUGAUGUGCCUAACUGUUUGUCUCGUCCGUGAUAAUUUUUUUUUUGUUGGAUUUAACGUCGCACCGGCACAUGAUAGGUCAUAUGGCGACUUUCCAGCUUUAAUGGUGGAGGAAGACCCCAGGU
rnacentral:lncRNA from 1 species